UACGGAGGGGGCGAGCGUUAUUCGGAAUUAUUGGGCGUAAAGGGCGCGUAGGCGGCUGUACAAGUCAAAGGUGAAAUCCCUCGGCUCAACUGAGGAACUGCCUUUGAAACUGUACGGCUUGAGGCCGGGAGGGGGUAGCGGAAUUCCCAGUGUAGCGGUGAAAUGCGUAGAUACUGGGAGGAACACCAGUGGCGAAGGCGGCUACCUGGACCGGUUCUGGCGCUGAGGCGCGAAAGCGUGGGUAGCAAACAGG
rnacentral:rRNA from 1 species